CCUACGGGAGGCAGCAGUGAGGAAUAUUGGACAAUGGUCGAAAGACUGAUCCAGCCAUGCCGCGUGCAGGAAGACGGCCCUAUGGGUUGUAAACUGCUUUUGUUUGGGAAGAAACCUUUCUACGUGUAGAAAGCUGACGGUACCAUACGAAUAAGCACCGGCUAACUCCGUGCCAGCAGCCGCGGUAAUACGGAGGGUGCAAGCGUUAUCCGGAUUUAUUGGGUUUAAAGGGUCCGUAGGCGGACUUAUAAGUCAGUGGUGAAAUCCUGCAGCUCAACUGUAGAACUGCCAUUGAUACUGUAAGUCUUGAAUUCGGUUGAAGUGGGCGGAAUAUGGCAUGUAGCGGUGAAAUGCUUAGAUAUGCCAUAGAACACCGAUUGCGUAGGCAGCUCACUAAGCCUGGAUUGACGCUGAGGGACGAAAGCGUGGGUAGCGAACAGGAUUAGAUACCCUGGUAGUCCACGCCGUAAACGAUGAUUACUCGACAUUAGCGAUACACGUUAGUGUCAUAAGACGAAGACAUUAAGUUAAUACCACCGUACGGGGUAGGUACGGUUACGUCGAAGAAGUAGAAACGUUAAAAGUUAAGUAAGUUAGUACGGCGUAGAGACGUAGACCGAACGGACGACGACGAGGGGAGGAGGG
rnacentral:rRNA from 1 species